AAUCCAAAGGGUGAGUCCUGUCACUGGAUAAAAAUAAGAAUCCAGUCCUUCAGGCACUAUCCCACUCCCUUCAUGCAUGCCCUCUCUUCAGAGUUCAGUCCACCUUGUCAACCAUAUGUGGUUCCAAAAGAGAGGACUGCAACCACACUGAUAAACCUCAGCAGCAACAUAUCUCUUCCCUUACCAAGCACCUCCAAUCACAUGAGAAGACUAGAUUUUCUUGUGGUCAAGUCCAUUUGUCACUUAACUGUAUCACCUGAUCCUAGUCCCAGUUAAACCCAUGACUUCUUGGACAAGGUGAACUUUCCUCCCUUUUUCCUUUUAGUCCCUCGUCCCAUGAAGCAUAUAAGAGCAACAGGUAGAAAACUUAAUUAAGCAGAAAGCCCCAG
rnacentral:lncRNA from 1 species